rnacentral:lncRNA from 1 species
GAGAAACAAUUCUUGGGCGGUUGAGAAGUACUCUCUCUGUCCUAUGAUAGUUUACUGCUUACCUGUUGAACCAUAUGAUGUAGUGAAAACAACUUAUAAGUAUGCACUUAGGUACCUAAAUUUUACUAGGUAGUUUCCAGCUAGAAUGAGAGUUGCGUGGUUGUAAGGAUCGAUUUUGCCAUGAUACAAACAUGAUGGUCGUAGAUACAUAUAUACCAGUGGGAAUAAGAGGUGUCGGCAAUUCAAGUCUUCCAACUCUAGGGCAUGUUUUUACAUAUUUCCUCUGAAUGGAAUCUCAAUCUACAAAGGUCAUAUUGGAAGCUACACCAUGCUUCCGCAAUGGCAUGAAUCUAGCUAACCAUUCAGGAGUACCUUUGGCUCAUAAUAGCUAAAUUCGGGCAAGGAUAUGCUUCAUAGUUUCGAGUCAGUUGCAGUUGAGUCUCAACCGGGA